UGAGACUUUGUGUUCUUCCCCAACCACUU
rnacentral:piRNA from 1 species